rnacentral:rRNA from 1 species
AGGGCAGCCAAGUCGUGAGGCGGAGCUAAUCCCUUAAAGCCAUUCUCAGUUCGGAUUGUAGGCUGAAACUCGCCUACAUGAAGCUGGAGUUACUAGUAAUCGCAGAUCAGAAUGCUGCGGUGAACGCGUUCCCGGGUCUUGUACACACCGCCCGUCACACCACGGAAGUUGGGGGCGCCCGAAGCCACUUAGCUAACCCAUUUGGGAAGCGAGUGUCGAAGGUGAAAUCAAUAACGUGGGGUGAAGUCGUAACAAGGUAAC